rnacentral:sRNA from 1 species
CCCGACCAUGUUGAGGAACAAUGCUGCUCGAAUUCUCGGCACAUGAUUUCUCACAUUCGUGUAGAAUAGAGGGCGCCGGUGUAUGUAAGAGAAAAACAGUUGCUGGCCGAUAAUAAUCGCCAUAGUUAUCUGAAUUCAAGCUAUCAGAAAACAAAUUUCACAAGUAUUCACAAGAUUUGGUGGAUCGGGUCAGCUGUUUGCAGCUUUUCCACACAAUAGCCACACGUGACUAGACUGUAGAGAACAAAAUGAGACCGUUCUGAAAUGAAAUACAACCGAAAUCCAUUCUUGGGAGAUUUCGUGGUCUGUCGAAAACAAUAGACGCACGUGCCUGUAAUAAAGUUGUCUAAUGCAGAUGCAUACCCAUGACAAUGACAGCAAAACAUUGUUGAAGAAUUUAUGCAUACAAAAAACUAAAACAAUUCCCACGCUCCUCUGCCCGAAAUCUCUCUGGUUUCCUCCAAAACCUAAUCUUAUCAAUACGCCAUCCAGAUCUAUACAGUGCCGCCUUCGGGGUUCUGUUCAUAAUGUACUGUUUGCACUGUCGGCAUUUGAAAGAACUCCAAAGCCAGCAUCCACAUAGCGACAUUUGUCGCUGCGGUCGAAAGGUCAAGGUGGGCCAUUGUCUGCCAGGCCCCAAGAGAGUGCCCCAAAACGAUCUGGCGAACCUUUCCCAAUUGGAAUUACCGAAUUCACUUCCGUUUUGCACAAAUUAGCAGUUCCAGGUUCAGCUUCUGCCCCGCAGAUCACUCGCAACCCGGCAGCUGAGACGUGUUUGCGUGCUAAAAGUUCUUACAACUUUUCACACUUUAAAUGAGUUCUGACGACAAUUAAAAUACUUGCAUUUAUAUUACAUAUUUACAAUAAAUGUAUAUACAUACAUAUAGUAUAUGGCUGUAGAAUGCCGGCCCCCAAAUUGGGGAAUAAUGAAGUUUUUAAAAAUACUCGUACUUCCCUUGGAUAUGGCUGUGCCGCGCUUUCGCCCACUAUUAAAGCCCAAUCAUAAAGCGGCGCACACGACUCGUGGUGUUCAUUGCAAGCCAAUUUGGCAAU